CCCCACACAAGAAGUAAAAAAGAAUGGGGAUAACCCCAGCCAAGAUGGCAAGAGAUCCACACUUGUAACCACAAGGUCACGAGUUUGAAUCCUUGCCCACUUGGUUUGAGCCGGUCAGUUAUGGGUAACCUAGGUUGGUUUACUUUCUUGUAGUCCUUUGCCAGCUAGGGUCACAAGGCGGGGUUUACCUACACUCAAAAGGGUUGUGGGGUUUCCAUCUUCAUCCAAAAA